rnacentral:rRNA from 1 species
GUAGACCGCCUGGGGAGUACGGUCGCAAGAUUAAAACUCAAAGGAAUUGACGGGGACCCGCACAAGCGGUGGAUGAUGUGGAUUAAUUCGAUGCAACGCGAAAAACCUUACCUACCCUUGACAUGGCAGGAAUCCCUGAGAGAUUGGGGAGUGCUCGAAAGAGAACCUGCACACAGGUGCUGCAUGGCUGUCGUCAGCUCGUGUCGUGAGAUGUUGGGUUAAGUCCCGCAACGAGCGCAACCCUUGUCAUUAGUUGCUACGAAAGGGCACUCUAAUGAGACUGCCGGUGACAAACCG